rnacentral:rRNA from 1 species
AGAGUUUGAUCCUGGCUCAGAGUGAACGCUGGCGGCAGGCCUAACACAUGCAAGUCGAACGGCAGCACAGCAGUAGCAAUACUGUGGGUGACGAGUGGCGAACGGGUGAGUAAUGUAUCGGAACGUACCUUUCAGUGGGGGAUAACGUAGCGAAAGUUACGCUAAUACCGCAUAUUCUGUGAGCAGGAAAGCAGGGGAUCGCAAGACCUUGCGCUGAUUGAGCGGCCGAUAUCAGAUUAGCUAGUUGGUGAGGUAAAGGCUCACCAAGGCGACGAUCUGUAGCGGGUCUGAGAGGAUGAUCCGCCACACUGGAACUGAGACACGGUCCAGACUCCUACGGGAGGCAGCAGUGGGGAAUUUUGGACAAUGGGCGAAAGCCUGAUCCAGCCAUGCCGCGUGCAGGAUGAAGGCCUUCGGGUUGUAAACUGCUUUUGUACGGAACGAAAAGACUCCUUCUAAUAAAGGGGGUCCAUGACGGUACCGUAAGAAUAAGCACCGGCUAACUACGUGCCAGCAGCCGCGGUAAUACGUAGGGUGCAAGCGUUAAUCGGAAUUACUGGGCGUAAAGCGUGCGCAGGCGGUUAUAUAAGACAGAUGUGAAAUCCCCGGGCUCAACCUGGGAACUGCAUUUGUGACUGUAUAGCUAGAGUACGGCAGAGGGGGAUGGAAUUCCGCGUGUAGCAGUGAAAUGCGUAGAUAUGCGGAGGAACACCGAUGGCGAAGGCAAUCCCCUGGGCCUGUACUGACGCUCAUGCACGAAAGCGUGGGGAGCAAACAGGAUUAGAUACCCUGGUAGUCC